UUGUACAUGGUCAUGGACCAGGUGUGAAUUUUCAUCUCUGAACCCAAUUUGCAUAUUUCACACCCUUCCCCUCUGCUGCUGAACUGUUAUAAAUGCUCCGUGUCACUCGUUACAGUUUGUUGAUCAGCACUGGGCCACUCAGACGUAUCAAGAUGAUCUCCCAGGCUCAGCUCAUCUGGCUGUUAGUGCUCUGGGUCCAGGGCUCCAGUGGGCAGAUUGUGCUGAGUCAGAUGCAAGCAGCCGUGGCAGUGGCGUCAGGAGACAGAGUCACUAUCAACUGCCAAGCCAGUUCCAGCAUCACCAGUGGUAGCACUCACUACUUAGCCUGGUACCAACAGAAACCAGGACAAGCUCCUAAACUCCUUAUCUACCAUGCUUCCACCCGUGCCUCUGGGAUCUCAGACCGGUUCACUGGCAGCGGGUCUGGAACUGAUUUCACUCUCACAAUCAGCAACGUUCAACCUGAAGAUGCUGGAGGUUAUUAUUGUCAGCAACACUAUAGCUCACCUCUCACAGUGAUACAGACCAAUACAAAAACCUCCCUGUUCCGUUCCAUUCUCUGUAACAGCUGCUUCCUUCAAACAGCCGCCUUCUCAGUGCAAAUGCUACAUGUUAUUUAGGGGCAAACUUUCAGCCCCAGAAACACAUAAACCUGCUGUC